AUGUUUUUUAAGUAAUCUUUCUGUUGCAUUGUUUCUCUGUUAGUAUAUAUGUUCUUGGUGGAUCACGAAAGGCUGUGGAUGAGACUGCUCAUCCCUUGAUCGGAGGUCUCGGGUUCGAGCUCUGGGCAGUGGCGGAUCUACACAUGAAAUUUGGGUGCUCGAGCACCCAUUAACCUCGACGCAGAGUAUAUGUCUAUGUAUAUCUGCCUUUUCAUAUUAAAUCAUUCAAUAAUUAAAUGAUUGUGAUGAUUUUGAUUGUAUUUUAGUGAAUGUGGCGUGGCUCUCAACGACACUAGUGUCUGCAACACGCAGGGGCGGAUCUACUCAUUAAAGUUGGGUGCUCGAGCACCCAUUAACCUUGACGUAGAUUAUAUAUAGUUAAUUAGAAAAUUUGAGAAAACGUAUAAAAAUUUACAAAAACACCCAUUAAUUUUAUGUACAAAAAACAUUCAGCACCCACAAACUUGAAUACCUAGAUCCGUCACUGGCUCUGGGUAUGGAAAAAUCCUUGGUCGGAGCGCCUUCCCCCGAAUGGGACCCUAUAUGGCGCGAAUCCGGAAAUAUAGUCGGGCUCCAGUGUGGGUAUCGGACGCGGGGUGAUAAAAAAAGUUCUUGUGGAGCAUUCUGUGUACUAUGGCAUUGCACAUUAUUGUUAGAAUGUUUGUACGUUAUGCAAAUAUGUGUGUAUUUAUUCAUCGUUUAAGGUAGGGAGAAAUUCCAUGUAGGGAGCACUUCCUUGCUAAUAGAUCUUAGAUAACACGAAUCUGAAUUAAUCAAUGAGUG
rnacentral:lncRNA from 1 species